rnacentral:rRNA from 1 species
UAGGGAAUUUUGCGCAAUGGGCGAAAGCCUGACGCAGCAACACCGCGUGAAGGAUGAAGCCCCUCGGGGUGUAAACUUCUGUCGGCAGGGAAGAAUAAAUGACUGUACCUGCAAAGGAAGCAUCGGCUAACUACGUGCCAGCAGCCGCGGUAAGACGUAGGAUGCAAGCGUUGUCCGGAAUUAUUGGGCGUAAAGCGUUCGUAGGUGGUUACUUAAGUCUGGUGUUAAAUCCCGGGGCUCAACUCCGGAUCUGCACUGGAUACUGGGUAGCUUGAGUGUGGUAGAGGCAAAGAGAAUUCCUGGUGUAGCGGUGAAAUGCGUAGAUAUCAGGAGGAAUACCGGUGGCGAAAGCGCUUUGCUGGGCCAUAACUGACGCUGAGGAACGAAAGCCAGGGUAGCGAAAGGGAUUAGAUACCCCUGUAGUCCUGGCCGUAGACGAUGGAUACUAGGUGUUGGAGGUAUCGACCCCUUCAGUGCCGUAGCUAACGCGAUAAGUAU